rnacentral:rRNA from 1 species
UGGGGAAUAUUGCACAAUGGGGGAAACCCUGAUGCAGCGACGCCGCGUGAGCGAAGAAGGCUUUCGAGUCGUAAAGCUCUGUCCUAUGAGAAGAUAAUGACGGUAUCAUAGGAGGAAGCCCUGGCUAAAUACGUGCCAGCAGCCGCGGUAAUACGUAUGGGGCGAGCGCUGUCCGGAAUAAUUGGGCGUAAAGGGUACGUAGGUGGUUUUUUAAGUCAGGUGUCAAAGCGUGGAGCAUAACUCCAUUAAGCACUUGGAACUGAAAGACUUGAGUGAAGGAGAGGAAAGUUGAAUACCUAGUGUAGCGGUGAAAUGCGUCGAUAUUAGGGGGAAUACCGGUGGCGAAGGCGACUUGCUGGACUUGUACUGACGCUCAGGUACGAAAGCGUGGGGAGCAAACAGG